GAUGAACGCUAGCGGCAGGCUUAAUACAUGCAAGUCGUGGGGCAGCAUGACUGUAGCAAUACAGUUGAUGGCGACCGGCAAACGGGUGCGGAACACGUACGCAACCUACCCAAAACUGGGGAAUAGCCCGGGGAAACCCGGAUUAAUACCUCGUAACAUAAUAAAGUGGCAUCACUAUAUUAUUAUAGCUCCGGCUGUUUUGGAUGGGCGUGCGCCUGAUUAGGUAGUUGGCGGGGUAACGGCCCACCAAGCCUUCGAUCAGUAACUGGUGUGAGAGCACGACCAGUCACACGGGCACUGAGACACGGGCCCGACUCCUACGGGAGGCAGCAGUAAGGAAUAUUGGUCAAUGGACGCAAGUCUGAACCAGCCAUGCCGCGUGGAGGAUGAAGGUCCUCUGGAUUGUAAACUUCUUUUAUCUGGGAAGAAAUCCAUUUUUUCUAAAGUGGUUGACGGUACCAGAUGAAUAAGCACCGGCUAACUCCGUGCCAGCAGCCGCGGUAAUAC
rnacentral:rRNA from 1 species